rnacentral:ncRNA from 1 species
AGUCCUUUAAUUGUGCUUUGUCAUUCAAUCACCAAAAUCCACAAGAGGGCCUAGAUGCACUUUCAUCCCUAUCUAGUGACAUAAGUGAUUUGGCUCAGCAGCUCCAGGGGCAGCAGCGCAGGUCAGUCAAGACAAAGAGACAUGGAGGGGGGAGGGGCGCAGCGCUCUCGACCUAUUCUCAAACUUUAAAUAGGUAGGAUGGCACGGCUGGUCCGGUGAGCCAUGCCAUGGUGUCAGGAGCUCUAAGUGGGCCAUUUUUGAUAAGUAGAACUGGCGAUGCGGGAUGAAUUGGAAGUCGGGUUCCGGUCCUGAACUACGCGCUAACCUAGAACCCACAAAGGGUGUUGGUCAAUUAAGACAACAAGACGGUGGUCAUGGAAGUCAAAAUUUGCUAAUGAGUGUGUAACUCCUCACCUAUAGAAUCAACUAGCCCUGAAAAACCCGGGCCGUGAGCCCGGGCAGAGCGGCUAUUGGUGUAGAUCUUGGUGGUAGUAGCAAAUAUUCAAAUGAGAACUUUGAAGGCUGAAGAGGACAAAGGUUCCAUGUGAACGACACUUGCACAUGGGUAAGCCAAUCCUAAGGGAUGGGGUAACCCUAGCAGACAGCGCGAUCAUGCGCAUUGCCUGAAAGGGAAUCGGGUUAAGAUUUCCUGAGCCAGGACGCGGUGAUUGACGGCGACGUUAGGAAGUCAGGAGACGCCGGUGGGGGCCUCAAGAAGGCUUAUCUUUUCUACUUAACGGCCUGCCAACCUUGGAAACGGUUCAACCAGAGGUAGGGUCCAGCGGUCGGAAGAGCACCGCACGUCGAGCGGUGUCUGGUGCGCCCUGACGACCCAUGAAAAUCCGGAGGACCGAGUAUCAUCCACGUCCGGUCGUACUCAUAAUCACAUCAGGUCUCAAAGGUGAACAACCUUUGGCCAAUGGAACAAUGUAGGCAAGGGAAGUCCGCAAAAUGGAUCCGUAACUUUGGCAAAAGGAUUGCUAUGAGGAUUGGGCUCGGGGGCCCGACCCUGAACCCGUCGGCUGCUGGUGGACUGCUUGAGCUGCUCAUGCGGCGAGAGCGGGUCAUCGCGUGCCAGUCGAAGGAUAGAUCGGGAAUGGCUCUCUCGGGGGCCUUCCCCGGGCAUCGAACAACCAACAUAGAACUAGUACGGAUAAGGAGAAUCUGACUGUUUAAUUAAAACAAAGCAUUGCAAAGGUCCCUACAAUGCUGACUGGGUGAAGAGUGGACUGAAGAUAAGUGGAGACAUUAUCAGCCAGAUGGAAGUCACUUAGCUUGGAGCAACUCACUCAAGGGAGACUCUUGAUAUUCACCUACAUCUCCACGGAUCAACGCACUAUGUGCUAAUUGAAGACUUCACACCAGAGGAUCAGUUCAUGGCGAAGCGUGAAGAAGAUGAAGAGACUGAUUCAACAUCAUACCAUCUCAUUGACUUAUGGGAGAUCAAAGAUUUAGAUGAACAACUCAGUGAAGAAAUGGAGGAACAUGAAGACAAUGAAUGUGAAUCAUUUAAAAUGUUGAGAUUGAAAUCCCCAUUAAGAAACCAAGGGAUGAGCUCUUUGAAAAUCCAAACCCAAUGUACAUAUAUCUUUCUCACACAUCUAUUUGUUUUGAGGAGUUCUCUGAUGAUUUAAAUUAAAAUACAAAUAGUAUGAUCCAUGAUUUGAAUUCUACGCCUUGUUUUAAUGAUCAUAUUUAUAGGCUAGAAUUUCUUGAAAAUGAAAGAGGCAAUGAUCUCUAACUUUGAUAAUUUUAAGGGCCAUAAAUAUGUCAGAGGAAAGCUCUUUCCAGACAAAAGCAAAGUAAAUUUAAUCGUAAUGGUGAAAGAGUUGACCAGAACAACUUCACCAUUGAAAAAUUACUGGUCCAUAAGAUGAUCAACCAUCCAGAGGCGGCCACAAACGGUGUAGCUUCAAAUUUACUUAUAUGCCGUGGACAAAAUUUACUUACAUAAAAAAUGAUCAAAACAUUCAUUUGGUUUCCUGUAAGCAAAUUGUAGAUGUUGCGCUUUCCACAACCUUCUGAUGAAUGGCAUCCCAUUUAGCCUGGGAAUUUGUUCCCCUUACAUGCCACACAAGAAUAUUCCAAGAGCG